AGUACUACCUUCGUGAUCCCACACUCCUAAUCAUAUAAGCUAAAGUAUUGCACAUUCAAUCUUUAGAAGAUAUAAACAAAACAUAAAUAUAGAUAGAUUAUCUUUCCAUUAGGUUGAGCCAUCUGAUCUGACAAAUGCUACACUCAUGAUCCAUCAACUUUGUCUUGCUCACUAUGCUUAAGGUUAGAGAAGAACAAAUACACUUUUGGUUCUGUUGGUGUUUUCCACCAACAGGGCCCAUGCACUUGAUCUCUACCUUGUCUCUAUGAGCAGGAACACUUCGAGCAUAAUAUGAAGGAGUUUUACAACUCCCAGAUUCCACC
rnacentral:lncRNA from 1 species